rnacentral:rRNA from 1 species
GAUGAACGCUAGCGGCAGGCUUAACACAUGCAAGUCGAGGGGCGGCGCGGGAUAGCAAUAUCCUGGCGGCGACCGGCGGAAGGGUGCGUAACGCGUGAGCGACAUGCCCGUUGCCCGGGGACAACCGGUGGAAACGCCGACUAAUCCCCGAUGGGAUACGAUGCUUCAUGGCAUUGUAUUGAAAGUUACGGCGGCGACGGAUUGGCUCGCGUCCGAUUAGCUGGUUGGCGGGGUAACGGCCCACCAAGGCUGCGAUCGGUAGGGGUUCUGAGAGGAAGGCCCCCCACAAUGGGACUGAGACACGGCCCAUACUCCUACGGGAGGCAGCAGUGAGGAAUAUUGGUCAAUGGGCGGAAGCCUGAACCAGCCAUGCCGCGUGCGGGAAGGAGGCCCUAUGGGCUGUGAACCGCUUUUGCCUGGGGGCAAUAAGGGCGUCGCGCACGUCCGAUGAGAGUACCAGGCGAAUAAGCAUCGGCUAACUCCGUG